rnacentral:rRNA from 1 species
UACGUAGGGGGCAAGCGUUGUCCGGAUUUAUUGGGCGUAAAGAGCGUGUAGGCGGCCAGGUAGGUCAGCUGUGAAAACUCGAGGCUCAACCUCGAGACGCCGGUUGAAACCAUCUGGCUAGAGUCCGGAAGAGGAGAGUGGAAUUCCUGGUGUAGCGGUGAAAUGCGCAGAUAUCAGGAAGAACACCCGUGGCUAAGGCGGCUCCCUAGUACGGUACUGACGCUGAGACGCGAAAGCGUGGGGAGCGAACAGG